rnacentral:rRNA from 1 species
AACGAACGCUGGCGGCAGGCUUAACACAUGCAAGUCGAGCGCCCGUAGCAAUACGGGAGUGGCGGACGGGUGAGUAACGCGUGGGAACGUGCCCUGAGGUACGGAAUAACUGCGGGAAACUGCAGCUAAUACCGUAUGAGCCCCGCAAGGGGGAAAGAUUUAUCGCCUUAGGAGCGGCCCGCGUCGGAUUAGCUAGUUGGUGGGGUAACGGCUUACCAAGGCCUCGAUCCGUAGCUGGUCUGAGAGGACGAUCAGCCACACUGGGACUGAGACACGGCCCAGACUCCUACGGGAGGCAGCAGUGGGGAAUCUUGCGCAAUGGGGGCAACCCUGACGCAGCCAUGCCGCGUGAAUGAUGAAGUCCCUCUGGGACGUAAACAUCUUUUAUGAGGGAGAAAGUUUAUUGAUAGUACCUCAAGAAUAAGGGGUUGCUAAACUCGUGCCAGCAGCCGCCGUAACAC